UACGUAGGGUGCAAGCGUUAAUCGGAAUCACUGGGCGUAAAGGGCGCGUAGGCGGGAUGGCAAGUCAGUCGUGAAAUCUCUCGGCUCAACCGAGAAACGUCGGCUGAUACUGCCGUUCUUGAGGAUGCAGAGGAGACUGGAAUUCCCGGUGUAGCGGUGAAAUGUGUAGAGAUCGGGAGGAACACCGGUGGCGAAGGCGGGUCUCUGG
rnacentral:rRNA from 1 species